CGGGAGGCUGCAGCAGUGGGGAAUAUUGGACAAUGGGGGAAACCCUGAUCCAGCAAUGCCGCGUGUGUGAAGAAGGCCUGCGGGUUGUAAAGCACUUUCGGUUGGGAGGACUGCUUCUAGCACUAAUAUUGUUGGAAGUUGACGUUACCUUCAGAAGAAGCACCGGCUAACUCCGUGCCAGCAGCUGCGGUAAUACGGAGGGUGCAAGCGUUAAUCGGAAUUACUGGGCGUAAAGCGCGCGUAGGCGGCUAGAUCAGUCGGGUGUGAAAGCCCCGGGCUUAACCUGGGAACUGCAUCCGAUACUGUCUAGCUUGAGUACAGGAGAGGAGAGUGGAAUUCCACAUGUAGCGGUGAAAUGCGUAGAUAUGUGGAGGAACACCAAUGGCGAAGGCAGCUCUCUGGCCUGAUACUGACGCUGAGGUGCGAAAGCGUGGGGAGCAAACAGGAUUAGAUACCCGUGUAGUC
rnacentral:rRNA from 1 species